UAAGGCCCCUUCGGGGGUACACGAGUGGCGAACGGGUGAGUAACACGUGAGCAACCUACCCUUGACUUCGGAAUAAGCCCGAGAAAUCGGGUCUAAUACCGAAUACGACCUUCCUCCACAUGGUGGGAGGUGGAAAGCUCCGGCGGUUGGGGAUGGGCUCGCGGCCUAUCAGCUUGUUGGUGAGGUAACGGCUCACCAAGGCUUCGACGGGUAGCCGGCCUGAGAGGGCGACCGGCCACACUGGGACUGAGAUACGGCCCAGACUCCUACGGGAGGCAGCAGUGGGGAAUAUUGCACAAUGGGCGCAAGCUUGAUGCAGCAACGCCGCGUGUGGGGUGACGGCCUUCGGGUUGUAAACCACUUUCAGCGCCGACGAAGCGAAAGUGACGGUAGGCGCAGAAGAAGCACCGGCCAACUACGUGCCAGCAGCCGCGGUGAUACGUAGGGUGCGAGCGUUGUCCGGAAUUAUUGGGCGUAAAGGGCUCGUAGGCGGUCCGCCACGUCGGAAGUGAAAACUCAGGGCUCAACCCUGAGCCUGCUUCCGAUACGGGCGGACUAGAGGAAUGCAGGGGAGAAUGGAAUUCCUGGUGGAGCGGUGGAAUGCGCAGAUAUCAGGAGGAACACCAGUGGCGAAGGCGGUUCUCUGGGCAUUUCCUGACGCUGAGGAGCGAAAGCGUGGGGAGCAAACAGGCUUAGAUACCCUGGUAGUCCACGCCGUAAACGGUGGGCACUAGGUGUGGGACUCAUUUCACGAGUUCCGUGCCGUAGCUAACGCAUUAAGUGCCCCGCCUGGGGAGUACGGCCGCAAGGCUAAAACUCAAAGGAAUUGACGGGGGCCCGCACAAGCGGCGGAGCAUGCGGAUUAAUUCGAUGCAACGCGAAGAACCUUACCUGGGUUUGACAUA
rnacentral:rRNA from 1 species